CCUACGGGUGGCAGCAGUGAGGAAUAUUGGUCAAUGGGCGGAAGCCUGAACCAGCCAAGUAGCGUGCGGGAUGAAGGCCCUACGGGUCGUAAACCGCUUUUGCACGGGGAUAACACCCUCCACUUGUGGAGGUCUGCGGGUACCGUGCGAAUAAGGGCCGGCUAAUUCCGUGCCAUCAGCCGCGGUAAUACGGAAGGCCCGAGCGUUCUCGGGAUUCGUUGGGCUUAAAGGGAGCGUAGGCGGGCGGUCAAGUCAGCUGUAACAUCGCGCGGCUCAACCGCGCCCCGAAGUUGAAACUGGACGCCUUGAGUUCACAACAGGCAGGCGGAAUUCUUGUUGUAGCGGUGACA
rnacentral:rRNA from 1 species